AGCAGCCGCGGUAAUUCCAGCUCCAAUAGCGUAUAUUAAAGUUGUUGCAGUUAAAAGCUCGUAGUUGAAUUUCGGGAUCAAGGAAUCGGUCAUGCCUCGGUAUGUACUGGUUUUAUGGUUCUCACCUUCUAAAGAACCAUAAUGUCAUUUAUUUGGUGUUAUGGGGAAUUAGGACUGUUACCUUGAAAAAUUAGAGUGUUUAAAGCAAGCUUACGCUUGAAUACAUUAGCAUGGAAUAAUGAAAUAGGACAUCCGAUUCUAUUUUGUUGGUUUCUAGGAUCGAUGUAAUGAUUAAUAGGGAUAGUUGGGGGCAUUAGUAUUCAAUUGUCAGAGGUGAAAUUCUUGGAUUUAUUGAAGACUAACUACUGCGAAAGCAUUUGCCAAGGAUGUUUUCAUUAAUCAAGAACGAAAGUUAGGGAUCGAAGACGAUCAGAUACCGUCGUAGUCUUA
rnacentral:rRNA from 1 species